ACGAACGCUGGCGGCAUGCCUAACACAUGCCAGUCGAACGAGACCUUCGGGUCUAGUGGCGCACGGGUGCGUAACGCGUGGGAACCUGCCCUUAGGUUCGGAAUAACUCCCCGAAAGGGGUGCUAAUACCGGAUAAUGUCUUCGGACCAAAGAUUUAUCGCCUUUGGAUGGGCCCGCGUUGGAUUAGCUCGUUGGUAGGGUAAAAGCCUACCAAGGCGACGAUCCAUAGCUGGUCUGAGAGGAUGAUCAGCCACACUGGGACUGAGACACGGCCCAGACUCCUACGGGAGGCAGCAGUGGGGAAUAUUGGACAAUGGGCGAAAGCCUGAUCCAGCAAUGCCGCGUGAGUGAUGAAGGCCUUAGGGUUGUAAAGCUCUUUUACCCGGGAUGAUAAUGACAGUACCGGGAGAAUAAGCUCCGGCUAACUCCGUG
rnacentral:rRNA from 1 species